rnacentral:misc_RNA from 1 species
UUCUAUCCUGAACCCGAUAGCAGCGGCAGUUCCUCAUUCUUCAUCAGGGCUAAAGCAAAUGGCGGGACUGCUA